GUGAAAAAAAGCAUCAUAACUCACCAAGUCAUCAGUAUUCAGACAGAAAGAGACCAAGCAUUCAUAGACCUAAGAUCAAUCAAACCAAUCUUUGUUAAAAAUAUGCUAUCAAUGGGAACAACCAACCACGUAAAAAGGCAUUGUCCGCUUCCCCAAACAUUAAGUGGCUUUUGUGCACGUGCAUGUUGUUGAGUUUGUGGGUCAUAUUUCAAAGAAGAUACUGCUCACUAAAAACUCAAGGCAAAAUGGGAGGUGGGGUUCAUGGAGGGGGCUAUUUUUUAUAAUUGUAAAUGUCUCCUAUUACUGCAUUAAAGGAAAAUUCUAGCAACUCCAUAAAUAGGCACUUGUAAUAUUCUCCUUCAUAGUGAAAGGACCACAGGUAGCUCUCUAUGGUUGUAGGCACAUAACCA
rnacentral:misc_RNA from 1 species